rnacentral:rRNA from 1 species
AUUGAACGCUGGCGGCAUGCCUUACACAUGCAAGUCGAACGGUAGAGGGGGCAACCCCUUGAGAGUGGCGAACGGGUGAGUAAUGCAUCGGAACGUGCCCAGUCGUGGGGGAUAGCCCGGGGAAACCCGGAUUAAUACCGCAUACGACCUGAGGGUGAAAGCGGGGGACCGAAAGGCCUCGCGCGAUUGGAGCGGCCGAUGUCGGAUUAGGUAGUUGGUGGGGUAAAGGCCUACCAAGCCUGCGAUCCGUAGCUGGUCUGAGAGGACGACCAGCCACACUGGGACUGAGACACGGCCCAGACUCCUACGGGAGGCAGCAGUGGGGAAUUUUGGACAAUGGGCGCAAGCCUGAUCCAGCCAUGCCGCGUGCGGGAAGAAGGCCUUCGGGUUGUAAACCGCUUUUGUCAGGGAAGAAAUCCUUUGGACUAAUACUCUGGGGGGAUGACGGUACCUGAAGAAUAAGCACCGGCUAACUACGUGCCAGCAGCCGCAGUAA